CAGUAGCCGCGGGAAUACGAAGGGGGCAAGCGUUGUUCGGAGUUACUGGGCGUAAAGGGCGCGUAGGCGGCUUAUCAAGUCAGAUGUGAAAGCCCUGGGCUUAACCCGGGAUGUGCAUUUGAUACUGUUAGGCUAGAAUCCGGGAGAGGUUGGUGGAAUUCCCAGUGUAGAGGUGAAAUUCGUAGAGAUUGGGAAGAACACCGGAGGCGAAGGCGGCCAACUGGUCCGGUAUUGACGCUGAGGCGCGAAAGCGUGGGGAGCAAACAGGAUUAGAUACCCCUGUAGUCCCUGUCUCUUAUAC
rnacentral:rRNA from 1 species